rnacentral:rRNA from 1 species
GAUGAACGCUGGCGGCGUGCUUAACACAUGCAAGUCGAACGGAAGAUAUACGGCGACGAGAUUUCGGUCAAAUCAAGUGUAUCUUUAGUGGCGGACGGGUGAGUAACGCGUGGGUAACCUGCCAUAUACAGGGGGAUAACACUUAGAAAUAGGUGCUAAUACCGCAUAAGCGCACAUGGCCGCAUGGCCAGGUGUGAAAAACUCCGGUGGUAUAUGAUGGACCCGCGUCUGAUUAGCUAGUUGGUGAGGUAACGGCCCACCAAGGCGACGAUCAGUAGCCGGCCUGAGAGGGUGGACGGCCACAUUGGGACUGAGACACGGCCCAA